rnacentral:rRNA from 1 species
ACGAACCGUCCAAACGUUAUUCGGUAUCACUGGGCUUAAAGCGUGCGUAGGCGGCCUGGUAGGUGAGGUGUGAAAGCCCACGGCUCAACCGUGGAAUUGCGCUUCAAACCACCAGGCUGGAGGAUGGCAGGGGUGAUGGGAACUGAUGGUGGAGCGGUGAAAUGCGUUGAUAUCAUCAGGAACACCGGUGGCGAAGGCGCAUCACUGGGCCAUUUCUGACGCUGAGGCACGAAAGCUAGGGUAGCGAACGGGAUUAGAUACCCCGGUAGUCCUAGCUGUAAACGAUGAGCACUGGGUUGAGGGGACCUCCACAUCUUCUCGGCCGUAGCGAAAGCGUUAAGUGCUCCGCCUGGGGAGUAUGGCCGCAAGGCUG